GUUACCGCCUCGGCCCCCUCCCCCUUCCGGGUACCUGGAAACCUCGGGUCCGGGAGCCAAUUCCUGCCGGGGACUUGGGCCCGGGCGGCCGCGGGAAAGCCAAGGAUACUGCAUUAUAUUUACUGUUCAUGUCUCCUUAGGCUCCUCUUGGCCAUGAUAUUUCUCAUACUUUCCCGGUUUUUGCUGGCCCCCAUGGUUUUGAGGAAUAAUUGAGACAUGUCUAAAAAGAUGAUGCUACGGCCGAUGUCACAAAGAUUGCUGCCUGUGUUCUUCUCUAGGACCAGAAGAGGAAGAGACACCAGGAGUAUGCAUGCACAGACAAAAGACCAUGCAAGGACACAAAGAAGGCAGCUAUCUGAAAGCCAAGGAGCGAGGUCUUUCCAGAAACCAGUCCUGGUGGGGCUGAUCUUGGAUUUCCGGUCUCCAGAACUGUGAGAAAAUAAUCUUCUGUUGUGUAAGCCACCCUGCCUGUGGUAUUUUGUUAUGGCAGCCUGAGCAGAUGACUACAGCAUCUGUUGGCAUUCUUGUUUUUGUUUUUUUUUUAAUUAUUGAAAUGUUACAGGGUCACUACUUGUACCUGUUCUGUCUCACAAGUGUGCGCAGUUAAGAGUUCUAUCAGCACAUAACAUGAGUCUCUGAUUUCCAGCUCCUAAUGUCUCUUUUGUGCUGCCUGUUACCUUAUUCCUAAGCCAAUUCUCUAUAUUUUAGUUUUUUUAUUUUCUACACCACUUCAAGGAAUCAGUUUCUGCAAGAUGAAUCUCAAACCUUUGGAAGAUUAACACAAAGGAAGUUUAUUUUUCAGGUAAUGAUAACAUGUGGGUGUUCCUGGUUGAUGGGUGGCUGUCCUCCAUACGGAGAAUAGGGACGCACCUUCUUUCAUCAUCUAUGCUCCACCAUAUCCUGGGCUUGCA